AUUGAACGCUGGCGGCAGGCUUAACACAUGCAAGUCGAACGAGUGGCGGACGGGUGAGUAAUGCUUGGGAAUGUGGCUUAUGGAGGGGGAUAACGACGGGAAACUGUCGCUAAUACCGCAUACCAUAGGAUGAGCCCAAGUGGGAUUAGGUAGUUGGUGGGGUAAUGGCAAACCAAGGCGACGAUCUCUAGCUGGUCUGAGAGGAUGACCAGCCACACCGGGACUGAGACACGGCCCGGACUCCUACGGGAGGCAGCAGUGGGGAAUUUUGGACAAUGGGCGCAAGCCUGAUCCAGCCAUGCCGCGUGUCUGAAGAAGGCCUUCGGGUUGUAAAGGACUUUCGUCAGGGAAGCGGUACCUGCAGAAUAAGCACCGGCUAACUACGUGCCAGCAGCCGCGGUAAUAC
rnacentral:rRNA from 1 species